rnacentral:rRNA from 1 species
UACGAAGGGUGCAAACGUUAUUCGGAAUCACUGGCGUAAAGGGUGCGUAGACGGUUAUUAAGUUCGUUGUUAAAGGCUCCGGCCAACCGGAGUAUUGCGAUGAAACUGGUAACUAGAGGAUGAGAGAGAGAAGUGGAAUUCCGGAGUAGCGGUAAAUGCGUGGAUCUCGGGAGGAACACCAAUGGCGAAGGCAGCUUCUUGGCUCAUAUCUGACGUUGAGGCACGAAAGCGUGGGAGCAAACAGG